GCUGGGAGACACUUAAAAGAACUGGAGGAUCUAUCAGUUUGGUGAGGAAAGAAAAUAUGAGAGAUGCAUCUGGAGAUCAGCACACUGAAUCCUGUGCAGUCCUGCUCUAAAGGCUGAUCUGAAGAGUUUCACACAACAGCUACAGUUAUAGUCUCUAGUCUCCAAUUCCUACAGUAAACCCCCCACAAUGGAAAAACAUUGGGACAGUGGCCAGGGGUGCUGACACCCUGACUCCCUUCUCCUUUUAAGAUAGUUAUGAAUACAGGAUAAACACUGUGGGCUCCAGGAGACGGGGCAGAGGUAGUGAAGGUUGUCUGAAGGCACACUCAGACACUGUCACAGAAGGUUGCGGAGAUCCGUAACGCUGAAACGUCU